rnacentral:rRNA from 1 species
CUUUGCACUCUGUGAAAACAAGAAUACAAGGCUAGCGGGCGGGACGGGGGUGAGUAACGACGUGGGGUAACCCUGCCCCAAGAGAUCGGGGAUAACACCUGGGAACAGAUGCUAAUACCCGGGAUAACACAGAUGAUGCCUAUCAACUGUUUUAAAAGAUGGGUUCUGCUAUCACUCUUGGAUGGACCUGCGGUGCAUUAGCUAGUUGGUAGGGUAACGGGCCUACCAAGGCGAUGAUGCAUAGCCGAGUUGAGAGACUGAUCGGCCACAUUGGGACUGAGACACGGCCCAAACUCCUACGGGAGGCAGCAGUAGGGAAUCUUCCACAAUGGACGCAAGUCUGAUGGAGCAACGCCGCGUGAGUGAAGAAGGGUUUCGGCUCGUAAAGCUCUGUUGUUGGUGAAGAAGGACAGGGGUAGUAACUAACCUUUGUUUGACGGUAAUCAAUUAGAAAGUCACGGCUAACUACGUGCCAGCAGCCGCGGUAAU